UACGUAGGGGGCAAGCGUUAUCCGGAUUUACUGGGUUUAAAGGGUGCGUAGGUGGGUUGGUAAGUCAGUGGUGAAAUACUUUCGCUUAACGAAGGAACUGCCAUUGAUACUAUCAAUCUUGAAUACAGUGGAGGUGGGCGGAAUGCGUCAUGUAGUGGUGAAAUACUUAGAUAUGACGCAGAACACCUAUUGCGAAGGCAGCUCGCUACACUGUUAUUGACACUGAGGCACGAAAGCGUGGGGAUCAAACAGG
rnacentral:rRNA from 1 species